rnacentral:rRNA from 1 species
UACGGAGGGUGCAAGCGUUAUCCGGAUUCACUGGGUUUAAAGGGUGCGUAGGCGGGCAGGUAAGUCCGUGGUGAAAUCUCUGAGCUUAACUCAGAAACUGCCAUGGAUACUAUUUGUCUUGAAUAUUGUGGAGGUAAGCGGAAUAUGUCAUGUAGCGGUGAAAUGCUUAGAUAUGACAUAGAACACCAAUUGCGAAAGGCAGCUUACUACACAGUUAUUGACGCUGAGGCACGAAAGCGUGGGGAUCAAACAGGAUUAGAACCUCCGGUAGUCAGUCCAAGAUCCAGUC